UACGUAGGGCGCAAGCGUUGUCCGGAAUUAUUGGGCGUAAAAGAGCUCGUAGGCGGUUUGUUGCGUCGGCUGUGAAAUCCCGAGGCUCAACCUCGGGUCUGCAGUCGAUACGAGCAAAACUAGAGUGUUUGCAGGGGGAGACUGGAAUUCCUGGUGUAGCGGUGAAAAUGCGCAGAUAUCAGGGAGGGAAACACCCGGGUGGGCGAAAGGGCGGGGGUCUCUGGGGGC
rnacentral:rRNA from 1 species